AGUGGUAAAACAGUUUUAAAAAUCAAUUGGAGGGGGAAGGGAUAAAUUCCAAAUCGAAAGAGAGAGAGAGAGAGAUCGGCACAUGUGCAGCAUGGGUUCCCCUUGCGGUGUUACACGUGCCUGUUCCCUACCAUUUCUCCAAUGGACUGCUUGAAGUUUUCCACACCGUGUGGCCCAUCCCAGAAAUGCCUCACAUCGGUGGCAAGAGGGCACAGAGGUGCCCUUGAGCUGGUGAUCCAGGAGAAGAGCUGUGGAGAUCCUUCGAUGUGUUGGGCCCGCGGCACCCGCUCCAUGCUAGGAACCAAUUUCACCUACUCCACUUCUUGCUGUUCUACCGACUUCUGCAACAGAGGCGCCAUGGGGCUAGGCACUUCCUGGAAGCUGUUGACAAUCCCCCUUCUGUCAGUUGUUAUGGUUUACCUCCACUGAGGCAGCUGCCUUAUCUGAGAACAUGGGUGGCUUCAGACCACUCUCUCCCAACAUCACUGCUCACUCCCAGCUCCCCACCAGACCCCUAAACAGCUCAUUUUGGGAUGACUCGUUUACGAUUAUGUCGCCAUUUCCCACGCCUUCUUUCUCUCUCUUCCCAACCAGAAAUGCCGAUGGAAAGUAAAUAAGUUGCAAUAAACCUGCUUGAUUCAACAACUGGAUACUUGAA